AGAGUUUGAUCCUGGCUCAGAACGAACGCUGGCGGCGUGCUUAACACAUGCAAGUCGCGUGCGCAGUUUUCUGUAGCAAUACAGGGAAUGGGCGCACGGCGCACGGGUGCGUAACACGUGGGCAAUCUGCCCUCCGAUGGGGAAUAACCCCGCGAAAGCGGGGCUAAUACCGCAUAAAAUUCCUUGAGCGACGGUUCGAGGAUUCAAAGCAGUAAUGCGUCGGAGGAGGAGCCCGCGCCCGAUUAGCUAGUUGGUGAGGUAACGGCUCACCAAGGCAAUGAUCGGUAGCUGGUCUGAGAGGAUGAUCAGCCACACUGGAACUGAGACACGGUCCAGACUCCUACGGGAGGCAGCAGUGGGGAAUCUUGCACAAUGGGCGAAAGCCUGAUGCAGCGACGCCGCGUGGGGGAUGAAGCUUUUCGGAGUGUAAACCCCUUUCGCCUGGGACGAAUGCCCGCAAGGGAGUGACGGUACCAGGAUAAGAAGCCCCGGCUAACUACGUGCCAGCAGCCGCGGUAAGACGUAGGGGGCCAGCGUUGUUCGGAAUUACUGGGUGUAAAGGGUUCGUAGGCGGUGUGGCAAGUUGGGAGUGAAAUCUCUGGGCUCAACCCAGAGGCUGCUUCCAAAACUGCUGUGCUUGAGUGUGAGAGAGGCUCGUGGAAUUGCAGGUGUAGCGGUGAAAUGCGUAGAUAUCUGCAGGAACACCCGUGGCGAAAGCGGCGAGCUGGAUCACUACUGACGCUGAGGAACGAAAGCUAGGGGAGCAAACAGGAUUAGAUACCCUGGUAGUCCUAGCCCUAAACGAUCAGGACUUGGGGUGCCGCCCGUUCGGGCGUCGUCCCGGAGCUAACGCGUUAAGUCCUGCACCUGGGGAGUACGGUCGCAAGACUGAAACUCAAAGGAAUUGACGGGGCCCGCACAAGCGGUGGAACAUGUGGUUCAAUUCGACGCUA
rnacentral:rRNA from 1 species